GGCUCAGGACGAACGCUGCGCGGCAUGCCUAAUACAUGCAAGUCGAACGAGCUUCCGUUGAAUGACGUGCUUGCACUGAUUUUAACAAUGAAGCGAGUGGCGAACUGGUGAGUAACACGUGGGAAAUCUGCCCAGAAGCAGGGGAUAACACUUGGAAAUAGGUGCUAAUACCGUAUAACAACAAAAUCCGCAUGGAUUUUGUUUGAAAGGUGGCUUCGGCUAUCACUUCUGGAUGAUCCCGCGGCGUAUUAGUUAGUUGGUGAGGUAGAGGCCCACCAAGACGAUGAUACGUAGUCGACCUGAGAGGGUAAUCGGCCACAUUGGGACUGAGACACGGCCCAAACUCCUACGGGAGGCAGCAGUAGGGAAUCUUCCACAAUGGACGAAAGUCUGAUGGAGCAAUGCCGCGUGAGUGAAGAAGGGUUUCGGCUCGUAAAACUCUGUUGUUAAAGAAGAACACCUUUGAGAGUAACUGUUCAAGGGUUGACGGUAUUUAACCAGAAAGCCACGGCUAACUACGUGCCAGCAGCCGCGGUAAUACGUAGGUGGCAAGCGUUGUCCGGAUUUAUUGGGCGUAAAGCGAGCGCAGGCGGUUUUUUAAGUCUGAUGUGAAAGCCUUCGGCUUAACCGGAGAAGUGCAUCGGAAACUGGGAGACUUGAGUGCAGAAGAGGACAGUGGAACUCCAUGUGUAGCGGUGGAAUGCGUAGAUAUAUGGAAGAACACCAGUGGCGAAGGCGGCUGUCUAGUCUGUAACUGACGCUGAGGCUCGAAAGCAUGGGUAGCGAACAGGAUUAGAUACACUGGUAGUCCAUGCCGUAAACGAUGAGUGCUAAGUGUUGGAGGGUUUCCGCCCUUCAGUGCUGCAGCUAACGCAUUAAGCACUCCGCCUGGUGGAGUAC
rnacentral:rRNA from 1 species